GACGAACGCUGGCGGCGUGCUUAACACAUGCAAGUCGAACGGAAAGGCCCUGCUUUUGUGGGGUGCUCGAGUGGCGAACGGGUGAGUAACACGUGAGUAACCUGCCCUUGACUUUGGGAUAACUUCAGGAAACUGGGGCUAAUACCGGAUAGGAGCUCCUGCUGCAUGGUGGGGGUUGGAAAGUUUCGGCGGUUGUGGAUGGACUCGCGGCUUAUCAGCUUGUUGGUGGGGUAGUGGCUUACCAAGGCUUUGACGGGUAGCCGGCCUGAGAGGGUGACCGGCGACAAUGGGACUGAGAUACGGACCAGACUGCUACGGGAGGCAGCAGUGGGGAAUAUUGCACAAUGGGCGGAAGCCUGAUGCAGCAACGCCGCGUGCGGGAUGACGGCCUUCGGGUUGUAAACCGCUUUCGCCUGUGACGAAGCGUGAGUGACGGUAAUGGGUAAAGAAGCACCGGCUAACUACGUG
rnacentral:rRNA from 1 species